rnacentral:rRNA from 1 species
AUACGGAGGGUGCAAGCGUUAAUCGGAAUUACUGGGCGUAAAGCGCGCGUAGGCGGUUUGAUAAGUCGGAUGUGAAAUCCCCGGGCUCAACCUGGGAAUUGCAUUCGAUACUGUCAGGCUAGAGUGUGGUAGAGGGAAGUGGAAUUUCCGGUGUAGCGGUGACAUGCGUAGAUAUCUGAAGGAACACCAGUGGCGAAGGCGGCUUCCUGGACCAACACUGACGCUGAGGUGCGAAAGCGUGGGGAGCAAACAGGAUUAGAAACCCCAGUAGUCC